GAUGUAAAGAAACUGAAUGCACAAAAAGCACUCUGCAGUGAAUGAAAUGUGGCAUAAACAUGCAAAUAUGCCCUAAUUUGGUUUGUUAAUAUCUCUCAGGGCAGUAAGUAAACUACGUCCUUUUAGAGGGAUUUACCUCCCUCUUAAAGUCAUCCUUCAGCCCUGUACUGGGGGCACACUUGUUCUCAAUGGAAUUACAUUUGGAAUACUUAACUGUGCAGUAAGAAUAAUACAAAUAUACUGUAAAUCAACUGGAACUUGAUUAAACUAGACCAGAACCUCUAACUAUAUGUGAAUGUACUUACAUUUCCAGAAUGCAGCUUGUCAUUCUGGCACUGAGGAUGGAGUUGGUGUGCUUUUGAUAAAUACCGGAUUAGAUCUCCUAACUUCAAACAAGCGUUACACACCAAUUUUUUCCCCACCACUGCUCAGCCCUGCACAAAUACAACAUCCGAAACCCAGCACGCCACCGUAAGCUCCACUUCAAAGCUUCAGAAACCUCAACACAGGCUUGUUUACUUUUUCUGCACCUUUGCCUGGUUCGUUUCCUCAUGUUGUGAGAGGGAGGGGUGCAUGGUCAGAGAACUGAACACAGUUUUAACUAGAUUAAGACUACACAUAUUAUUUAGUCUGUUUAGUCAGUCUGUUAGAUUCUGUUCUAUAUGGAUUUUGUAAUAAUUGAUAAAAAUGUUUAUCUUCCAUUUAAAGGAAAAGUUCACUCCAAAAUUUAAUUUCUGUCAUUUAGUCAACCCAAUAUUAAACUUUGGAAUGUUUAUGCUGUUUUUCCCCAUACAGUGAGGAUGAGGGCAACCAAAAAGAGUAAUUAUAUGAAUGUAUAUCUGCAUAUGUAUGUAUAUAUAUGAAAUAGAAAUAUGAGGAUGUGGGAUGUGUUUGUGGAUUCAUUUUAUACAGCUUAAACAUUCUAAAGAUAUAUAUCUACAAUAAUCUCAUCAAGUUUGGUCAGAGAUUUUGGGGCAAUCUUUGACAAUAAGAUGACCCUCAAAGACCACACUGCAAGGACACCACGAUCAUGCAGGUUUGAAUUGCACAAGGUUAAGAUACUGAUGUUUGUAUAUAGAACAGCUGCAGUCUCCGCACCCAUCUACGUACCACUCAGCCUUAUGAGUACUUCCCCUUCAGAAGGCUUACACCAGUAAAUGAGUGAUGCCUCAUGGUACCAUUAGACAGGCA
rnacentral:lncRNA from 1 species